AUAUAAGUAAUGAAUAGUAGAUUUGAAAUAAUUAAUUAUAUAGAUUUAAAGAAAUAAUCAUGGAAUACAAAAGCUAUUAAUAGAUAUAGGUUACUAAUAAAAAAAAUAAUCUAUUUUUUUUUAAAACCUAAGGUAAACCUUUUAAUAAAUAUACUAAGUGAACUGAAACAUCUAAGUAACUUAAGGAAAGUAAAUCAACAGAGAUAUCAUAAGUAUUGGUGAGAGAAAGUGAUAUAGUCAUAAUAAGUAUUAUGUAAUAUAAAAUAUGUAAGAAUAUAGGACAAACUAGUUCUAAGACUAAAUACUAUUAAUAAGCAAAAUAAGUACUGUAAAGGAAAGUAAUGAAAUGGUUAUUUUAUAAGUAAUCAUAGAUACAAUAUAAAUUGUAUUAAUGAUGUACCUUUUGUAUAAUGGGUCAGCAAGUAAUUAAUAUUAGCAAAAUAAAAAAUAUUAUAAAUAAUUUGAUAUAUAAAUAGUUAAUAUUAAUUGACCCGAAAGCAAAUGAUCUUACUAUGGUUAGACGGAUACGGUCGAACAGGUUGAUGUUGCAAAAUCAUCUGAUAAACUGUGGUAAGUAGUGAAAGACAAAUCUGAUUUGCAGAUAGCUGGUUUUCUACGAAAUAUAUGUAAGUAUAGCCUCUAUAGUAAUUAAUUAUUAUUAAUUACCCCUUUUCCUUUUUUUUAGGGAGAAGGUAAGUAAAUAUAAUGAAUGGUAUAGCAAUUAAUAUAUUUUGGGGAACUAUCGAAGUUUUAUCAAAAAUAUUUAAUCUCAAAAUAUUUGAUUAAUUAUCUAUAGAGAGUCAGAUUAUGUGCGAUAAGGUAAAUAAUCUAAAGGGAAACAGCCCAGAUUAAGAUAUAAGGUUCCUAAUUGUAUGAUAAGUGAAAAUAAUAUUAUAAUAUUGUAAUACUAUCAGUUAAUGGGUUUGACAAUAACCAUAUAUUUAAUGAACAUGUAACAAUGCACUGAUUUAUAAAUAUUAAAACAAUAUUAAACAAACUCCUAUAAAGGGGUUAUAAUAGAGAAUAUACGGAUCUUAAUAAUAAUAAUCAUACAACCGAAUAUCUAAAUAUUAUUAUUAUAUAUAAUAAUAUGGUAGUAGAACAUUUAAUGAAAAAUUAUACUAGUUAUUAAUUAGUAUAUAUUAAUAUAAUAUUAUAAUAUAUAUUAUAUAUAUCUUUCCCAUAUUUUAUUGGAGGGUAUAAAAUAGUAAUUAAAUAGAGAAUGCUGACAUGAGUAACGAUAAAAAAGUUAAAACUUUUUCACCUAAAACAUAAGGUUUUACUAUAAAAGUACGGCCCUUAAGUAAAUUAAGAAUAAAAAUAUAAUCUACGAUAGGAUAAUUCUAAACUAUAAACUUACAAGCACCAUUCAUCUUUGGUGGGUGGUGACUUUUAAUAAUAUUAUUAUAUUAAUCCUCCCUUUAUUUCCUUUAGGGGAAAAGGAGGGGGGGAUAAACUUAAUAUGAUCAGGAAAUAUAUAUAGUUAUGUACCGUAAUGUAUACCGACUCAGGUAUGUUAGUAGAGAAUAUGAAGGUGUAUUAGAUAAUUAAAGGGAAGGAACUCGGCAAAAAUAGCUCUAACGUUAGUCAAUAAAGAGUAAUAAGAACAAAGUUGUACAACUGUUUACUAAAAACACCGCACUUUGCGAAAACGAUAAGUUAAUGUAUAAGGUGUGAACUCUGCUCCAUGCUUAAUAUAUAAAUAAUAUUAUUAUAAUGAUAAUAUUAUUAAAUUUAAGUAAAUAGCAGCCUUAUUAUGAGGGUUCUAAGGUAGCGAAAUUCAUUGUCCAAUAAAUAUGGUCCUGCAUGAAUGACGUAAUGAUACAACAACUGUCUCCCCUUUAAGCUAAGUGAAAUUAAAUUCGUAGUGAAGAUUCUGCGAACCUAUAGUGUGACGGAAAGACCCUAUGCAGCUUUACUGUAAUUAGAUAGAUCGAAUAAUUGUUUAUUUUAUUCAGUAUAUUAAGUAAUUUAUUAUAAUGCAAAUGAGAUACUUAUUUAAAUAAUAUAAUUAUUCUAAUCUUACAUAUUUUAAUAUUAAUUGAUAUUUUAUUCUUAAUAUUAUCUCUUUUGGUAGUUUUGACCUUUGGGUUAUAAGAUUCUAAAAGAGAAGUAAGAGACAAUCUCUAAUUGGUAGUUUUGAUGGGGCGUCAUUUUCAGCAAAUUUAUCUGAAUAAGUCCAUUUACAAUUUAUAUUAUUAUUAAUAAUAUAACAUAUAUUAUUUAUGUUAAUUGUCAACAAUAAUAUAUUAUUUUUUAAUAAUAUAUUUUUAUAAUAGAUAAAAUAAUGUACAGUAUAAUUGUCUGGAAAACAAUAAUAAUAAUAAUAAUUUUAUAUUAUUAUAUGAAAAAUCUAUUAAAUUAAUAUAAUGGUUUAACUGUGCGAUAAUUGUAAUACAAACAAGUAAAACAAGUACGUAAGUAUGGCAUAAUGAACAAAUAACACUGAUUGUAAUGGUUAUUGAUAACGAAUAAAAGUUACGCUAGGGAUAAACAGGGUAAUAUAGCGAAAGAGUAGAUAUUGUAAGCUAUGUUUGCCACCUCGAUGUCGACUCUACCUAUCCUCUUGGUUGUAACUGCUAAGAAGGGUUUGACUGUUCGUCAAUUAAAAGGUAACGUGAGUUGGGUUAAAUACGAUGUAAAUCAGUAUGGUUCCUAUCUACUAUAGGUAAUAUUAUCAACUUAAGUCUUGUUCUUAGUACGCAAGGAUCAGAAUGAACUAAUCCAUGGUGCAUCUAUUGAUUAUAUUAAUUCUUCUGCCCUACUAAUUAUAUUAGAUUGGAAAUAUCAGAAGAAUCUAUAUUAGUUUAUAUUUUAUAAUAUAAUCACAGUAGAUAAGCUAAAUUAGUAAAUAAUAAGUAUUGAAAGCAUAUGAAAUACAAAGUAGUCUUAAGAUGAGAUAAUAAUCUGAUAAUUAAAUACUAUAAU
rnacentral:rRNA from 1 species